rnacentral:rRNA from 1 species
GACGAACCGUGCGAACGUUAUUCGGAAUCACUGGGCUUAAAGCGCGUGUAGGCGGUCCGCCGCGUCGGCUGCUGAAAUCCCCCGGCUCAACCGGGGAACGGGCACCGAUACGGGCGGCCUAGAGGGGGGUAGGGGGGACUGGAACUUCCGGUGGAGCGGUGAAAUGCGUUGAGAUCGGAAGGAACGCCCGUGGCGAAAGCGAGUCCCUGGACCCUUUCUGACGCUGAGACGCGAAAGCCAGGGGAGCGAACGGG